rnacentral:lncRNA from 1 species
CAGUGCCCGAGGGUGGGGGAGAGGAUCGCGGAGCCCAGCCAGAGGCAGCCGAGCAAGCGGCUCCGAGCAGGCAGCGCGAGCAGAGGCAGCUUCCCUUUUGUCUCCCCGCCUCGGCGGCCCGGAGGCCCGUCCCUGCCGCCCGCGCCGCCUCCCUUCCCUGAGCCCCUUUGUGAGACCGCGGCGGCGGCGGUAGCAGCAGCCGCCGCAGCAGCAGCCGCUGGUGCCCCGGUUGGGCAAGAAGAAUCAAGUUAAAGUUGCGCUGGGCGGGUCUGCCGCGGUGAGCGGGAGAGUUCAGGGGCGCCGGCGCCCGCGCGGUCCCUCCGGGGGUGCCCCCUCGAGACUCCGGAGAGCGAUCAGCAGGUGAGGCGCAGGGCUCCAGAGCCCGGCGGACGAGGGACGCAGGUCCCCUCGGUCGCCGCCGAAGGGGAGCGCGGAGAUGGCGGAAGGUUCCAAUUCCUUCACACACCCCGGGGGCCCCAGAGAAUAAAAGUUUUGCGGGAGCCUGGGCAGAGACAGGGGUACGCAGAGCCCGGCGACGCGGCACGGUCGGUACUGAGCCGCAGGCGGCCGGCUGGGCUCUGCCUGCCUCUCCCAGGCACCUCCCGGCUCGGAUCGGCUCGGCUCAGCUCGGCUUCACUCGCGCGCUCCCUCCUCGCGUCCCGGCUCGCGCGCGCUCCGCCCCCCGCGCGCUCGCCCCGCCCCGUCCCGCCCCUUGAGUCGGGACUCGACACCCCGAGGUGUUCCCACCCAGCUGUCAGAGGCUGAGCAAGUUCCGCGGCCGCCGGUGCGGGCUCGCAGCCCCAUGCGGUCCAGGACAGCCAAGGGGGAGAAAAGAGGGAGGUCCGCUGCCUAGCUCUUGCGAAUCGUUGUUCCUUCCCCCUGUGCCGGCUCCUAAGACAAGCUAAUACUGACCCCGGUAGUCUUAGCGUUGGUUUUCCAGGAACUAUUGCUGCUCACUGGGAAGCCGAGAGCCAUACGUGAGCGUUCCCCCCUUCGGCGGCUGCACUAUAGUGCGGUCCCCGCUUCGCCAGCCAUAAGGCAAGCGAGAAGGGACGCACUUCUCCCGGCUUGCAAAGCGGUAGGGAGACGAUCGGGCCGCUGGCCGCUGUCUCGGCGUUCAGCAAUAGAGGCCUUCCCGGAUCUCCCGAGAGGCGGGGAGCGAGCCUGGGUCCAGCAGCCUUCUCCCUCCCGAGAACAGCAGAAAGGGGGGACUCGACAGAAUGACCUCUGUUUCCCCAAGGAAGUGCACUCUGACGAUAACCUCGGGAGGGACGAGAAGGGCCGCUCUUUCGGAGAGCGGCCGCCGCCCCUGGAGUAGGGGACUCAGUGGCCACGAAGGCCUUCCCUGCUCGCGACCUUUCCACGGGAAGGCACGAAGCUUCCGAUGGGGGCCCCGGGGCGCUCCUGACUUUUCUACGGCGCGAGGGCUCUGACUCUGCGGUUCAGGUUUGAAAGUCCUUUGGAAGCUCGCAAGUGGUGGUCUCCCACCACCUCCUCGGUCAUCGCAGGAAGAAGGCGCAGUGAGGGCGGGAGUCUGGAUGAGCGGAGAGUAGCCACCGCGGAGAAGAGUGCGGGCUUGCAGGAGCCGACGAAGAUAACUCGAAAUGUGGGCAGGAAAAACCUCCAUACCUUGGAUUCUAGAUCCCUGGGUCCCCUUACCCCAGGAGGGCACUAAUAGCUUACUCAGUGGUAUUGAGGCUGUCCAGCAGACCAUCCCACUUUGAUUUGGAAGAUCAGUGCCUAUGCAAGAGGAAAAGCAUGCAAUUGGGAAUAGGACAGAGGGUUUCCAGAGAGGAGGAACACCCAGGACAAAGGAGGGGUAACACGAAUUCCUGAGAACUGACCACCAAGUUCAUGACUUUUGGAGCCCAGACCAAAAGUCUUCUAGGGCCCAAGCUUGGGACAGAAGGAGUGGAUGCCACCAUCAGAGGAUGCCUGUUACCUCAAGGUAUGUCCAAGUAUGAGUAGGCCUGGGCACAAAGCCAGGUAAGCAGGACCUGCUUCAGGUGGGCAAGGUUACUGGAUCGCCUCAAGGAGAGGAUUCCCCAAGGCCCUGGUCAACAGGGCUGCUUUAAAAUUGUUGUAAUACCCAAGGACUUACUUUAGGAUACCCUACCCCACAUCAUAUAAAACGUAUUGAAAUGUACCAUGUCCCAGCUUAAAUAAAAUUUCUUUAGCUA